rnacentral:lncRNA from 1 species
UCUUUACUUAGUACUGGUUGGUGAACGCCAGGAAGAAGAUGGUCGAGAAUUUUGUUCCACUAAAUUUACAAAAGGACAGAAGGACAAGGACUAACCAGGGGACGUCUGUUUUAGCCACCUUGGUAGUUAACACAUGGCAUUCCAUACCGGAAAACGUGGUUGUACUCUUUCAAAACUAGCCUUAACAAACAAAUCUGAAUUUUGGUCCAGUAAAAUGAGCAGUGUCCAAUGAAAUGUAAUAAAUCGUAUUCUAUUUGACAUAUUACUACAUAACAUAACAUGUACGGUUGAACUGUUAUCCUUGUGUAGCAGGUAACGGCUAGUGAAAGUGUAGUUUAUGCUGACCGAAGUGCGAAUCACGUGACAUUUGUUGAGAGUGAGCUCGUGUUCAUUCAGUAGGCAGUUUUUCAAGGACAAAGAACAUGAAGAACGAACACGAAGCGAAAAAGGAAGAGACUUUAAUAUUUACAUGAAAACGUGAAAUGAUGCCAGCCCUAGUGUAGAGAGCCAGAGACUUUUGAUAUUUCCAUGGAAACAUGAAGUCCUUGUGAAGACAGCCAGUGGAUAUGUUAAAUGGUGCCAGGUGUUGUGACUUGUGAUGUCUCCUGCCUUCUACUACUGCAUGGAUCUUCAUUAUCUUCAGUUUAAUUCUAAAUAGAAGAGUACAAGAUGUCCCUAGAAUUUACUGACACUGGUCUUACUAAGAGCCUGAAACCUGCACCAAAAGACGCUUGUCCCUCAAGAAAUGUGAACAGCAUUGAACAACCUCAAGCUUGAGCUAAGCUCCCAAUUUCUAGAGUGUAUUUAAACCAUCUGUUCAAAGUCAACACCAUAUUUCAGGAACUGUGAUGACACUGAGGAAAUAUUCUACAAUCUUCACCAUGGUUACGGUUGAAUAGGGAUUCCCACAUAGCAAUUGCUGUACAGUGUAAUGCCAGCAUGUAUGUUUUUCUAAGCAAGCGACAGUGUGUCAAGGUGGAAGCUGUGCAUCUGGACAGGAUGAGAAUGGUUGUAUUCCAAUGGCUGUAAGCAUGAAAUCACCUGACCUUGUGUGGGAGACAUCUAUGAAUGGAUCAGCCAGAUGUAUACCUCUAAUUUAAAGCUUGUGAAUCUACACCUUCUGCACAACAUCAUGACCAAGUUUGUUCUGAUACCUGCCAUCAUUUCAGUUGACACUCAAAAUGGAGAAUUUUAUAGCUCCUAAAAUUCACCAUGGCGAUGACCUUCUGGCUGUCAGAAUAGGAAACAGAACAUAACUCAUUGAAAACCAAGAUAUCCUUGCUCUUCAAGUCUGCUGUAGAGCCCAAAGAUGUCACAGUCAAGAUAAUGCAUAUGUUCCUGUUCCAAGGUUAGCUACUGCAGACCAAAUUGAAGGAGAAAGUAAAAUGCUAAUUCAUUUGUGACGCCUGCUUAGACCUGUUUCCAAGAGAAGAUUAGGAUGAAGUCAUUGACAAUCAACUUUGCAUGCAAACAGAAUGCACUGAUCAAACCAAGUCUCUGGACAUUUUCUGGCAACCAAGUGCUGAGAACACCAUUUAGAACUGUCAACACUUGCACUGUCAGUGUAGAGUUUCACAAAAUAACAUGGAUUCAUAGGGUUGCUACUCUGUGGUGAGAAAUAUUCAGAGAGAUGACAGAAGUAACUUGACAAUAAACUCCUUCCUGUACAUCGUUAGUAAUUGGUCAGUUACUGAACGUUACCACAGAUCUGCUUGAAGCUGAAAUUAGAUAUGCACAGAGAUGAAUAAGAAAUUUAUUGAAAACUACAUUAAAGAUGUUGUGACAGUAAAUCUAGUGCAUAUAUGAUGGUUCAAGACAGACAUUAAAACUUAAUGAAUGUGAGAUAUGUGACAGUAAAAUAGAUGUUAACAGUAAGAUCAAGUUCAAAUGAAAACGGUUGUUACAUAACAUCAAAAUGAUGUAACAUUAAAUGGCAGAUUCAGAUAUUUAAUUAAAACACAUAUA